AUUGAACGCUGGUGGCAGGCCUAACACAUGCAAGUCGAGCGGAUGAAGGGAGCUUGCUCCUGGAUUCAGCGGCGGACGGGUGAGUAAUGCCUAGGAAUCUGCCUGGUAGUGGGGGAUAACGUCCGGAAACGGGCGCUAAUACCGCAUACGUCCUGAGGGAGAAAGUGGGGGAUCUUCGGACCUCACGCUCUCAGAUGAGCCUAGGUCGGAUUAGCUAGUUGGUGGGGUAAAGGCCUACCAAGGCGACGAUCCGUAACUGGUCUGAGAGGAUGAUCAGUCACACUGGAACGGAGACACGGUCCAGACUCCUACGGGAGGCAGCAGUGGGGAAUAUUGGACAGUGGGCGAAAGCCUGAUCCAGCCAUGCCGCGUGUGUGAAGAAGGUCUUCGGAUUGUAAAGCACUUUAAGUUGGGAGGAAGGGCAGUAAGUUAAUACCUUGCUGUUUUGACGUUACCAACAGAAUAAGCACCGGCUAACUUCGUG
rnacentral:rRNA from 1 species